rnacentral:rRNA from 1 species
UACGGGGGGGGCAAGCGUUGUUCGGAAUUACUGGGCGUAAAGGGCUCGUAGGCGGCCAACUAAGUCGGACGUGAAAUCCCCCGGCUUAACCGGGGAACUGCGUCCGAUACUGGAUGGCUUGAGAUUGGGAGAGGGAUGCGGAAUUCCAGGUGUAGCGGUGAAAUGCGUAGAUAUCUGGAGGAACACCGGUGGCGAAGGCGGCAUCCUGGACCAAUACUGACGCUGAGUGAGCGAAAGCCAGGGGAGCAAACGGG